rfam:Cricetulus griseus cell line CHO-K1, whole genome shotgun sequence.
AGGGGACCAUCUGUCACCCCUUUGAUCGCCAGGUUUUACUCCGCUGAUCUGGCUGACUAGGCGGGUGUCCCCUUCCUCCCUCAGGGCACCAUGUGCUUCCCUCCCGAAGCUGCGAGCUAGAUAGAAGAGGAUGACCUUCCCCGAAUAGAGGAGGACCGGUCUUCGGCCAACGGUAUAUGAGUAGCUGCACUCCCCUGCUGGAACCUCCAAACAAGCUCUCAAGAUCUUAUGUAUUUUUUUGGCCUAUAAAUCUUGUUUAUAAACAAAAGAAUACUUCUAUUAGAGAUAAGCAAAUUGUUCUCUAGACUGA